rnacentral:lncRNA from 1 species
GGCUUUAGUUGAAUAGUUAAUAGCACAGAAAUUGUAACUCAUUUCCGCCAUUGAUAUUGACUCAAGCCACAACUAAUAGCCUACGUCACCUGAAUGUUAAACCUGUAUACACACAAAAACAAUAUGCCGAGGGUUUUGUCACGGCUUGGUAAAUGUAUCAUCUUAAAAGCUUUGAGGAACACACACACAGAAACACAUAGACAACACACACACACACCACAGACAACAAACACACACUCACACUGGCAUACCCGCUCACUUCAAACAGAUUUGAAUAUUGAUUUAGAUUUAUCAACAGAGACAGACCCACUUUGAUGAACGGAAAUCGUAGUGGAUCACGCCCUCUAGAUUUGUUUUCUACCCAACUUCAGUUCCGGACUCAUCAUAUCUGCAUCUCAACUGCAUCUCAACUGGAGCAAAGUUUUCAACGUGUGAUCUAAUUUCUGACCGGGAUUUCUUCAGUCUACAGCCGCUCUCUGUCCAUGAGGGAUGGCGCAUGACAAGGGCUUCUGCAACAAACACAUGGAUUACAUUUACUACACUCUCCUCCAGACCAUCAAUAACUCAAGACCCGUUGGAAAUCCAACAAGGACAAAUAAUACAAAGAUAAAAAUACCUCUCUACCACCCCCAAGAUGAAGCCAGACUGAUACUGUGCUUAUGUUCAUUAGCUCACUGUAAAAUAAGCUGUGGCAUGCCACAGGCAAGUGUGCUUGGGCUUCUGUUAUUCCUGCUGUACAUUAAAGAUAUCAAGGAUGCUUGCUCAAUGUCACCCGUGUCUUUAUGCAGAUGACUCUGCAGAGCUCACUAACAUCAACAAGCUGUCUCCGCACCUCGGCAAAACAGAAGGAAUUCUGUUUGGGUCCAAAAUGAAACUAAGCGAGUCCUCAGACAUCAGGGUACAGCUAGCAGAACAGGUACUCACAGCCAGAACAGCAGUUCAUUACUUAGGAUGUACACUAGAUGGCAACCUGGCAGGGGAGGAGUAUGGCUACUAAGGUACUAGGUAAAGUGCUAGUGUAAAGGACAUCACGCUGCUUUACACUGCUAGAGUAAGGGACAUCACGCUGCUUGCUUAGUGUCGCGAGUGCCACUUCCUCCUGAUUCGGCUCACACCGAGGCUUGAACCCAGGACCUGAAGCGUCUUACCAGUCGGUGACACGGAAAAGCUAGCUAUUCGUUGGUGCAAGUGGGGAAUCUUCAGGCUGAGGAGUAUGUGCUACACCAGGACCAAAUUCUUGGCUAUGUAGUCUAAGCUGUUGGAAAAAGAUUCAAAGAAAGUGCUAGUGUGCUCAUCCAAUGUCCUUUUUGAUGCUAGCACCUCCUGGUUUGAAGGCUUAAUAAUCUACUAAAAAGCAAGCUCAGGAUAGCCCAGAACAAGUUAAAUCUGAGUCCACCUACAGUACUCAUAUUGGUACCAGACAGUUUCAGGAGCUCAACUGGCUGCCCUCUAAGUAAAGGGUCACACAGACCAGACUUAGUCAGGUUCAUAGGAUCAUUCAUGAAGCAGCUCCUAGGCAUUUUGUCUCACUUCCUUCCCCAUUUUAGAGACUCAUACAAACCCAACAAUAGAGCUGGCUAACGUGUUGUGUGUAGAAGCCUGGCAGGGAAAGGUACUUUUUUAUAUUCAGUAGCCUCUGAGUGGAAUAGUCUGUUAAAACUAUUCCUACUCUGAGUAGCUUAAAAAGGAAGGUGAAAUGCUGGUUAAUGGAUAGGGUGCCUCUGUGAGCAAUCCAUCCUAGCCCAAUGAUGAUGUCCAAGUAGCCUUCUUUUGUCUAUAGUGUGUGUAUGUUGUUGUGCUCUCAUAUGACUAAGUAACCAUAUUGACCUGCCAUUUUAGUUUCAGAUUUUUUAUUUUGCCACAUGUGCCAUAUUUGACAAAUGCUAUCUUGAAAGAGGACCACAAUUGAAAUAGGUUGUAGACUUUUUUGUGUUUUAUCUUCAACAAUUCUUAAUCAUGUGCAUCAAUUUGAACAUGUACUUUGUUUUUUAAAUAUCCAAUAAAAAUACUAAUAAAAAAGAACAGCAAUGCCUCAAGAUUAGCAUUGAAUGUAACUUAUGAAUAUUAUGAUUUUUAAAAUGAAUGUAUGUAAUAUCAAGCUGUAUCGUUGAUAUUACAUAUAUUUGAUUUAAAUCAUGUCCCUUGCAUUUAAAGUCAGUGUUUGUGUUUUUCACCAAGCGAUGAGCCAGCCCCAGCAGUGUGGAAAUAAAGA